rnacentral:rRNA from 1 species
AGAGUUUGAUCCUGGCUCAGGAUGAACGCUGGCGGCGUGCUUAACACAUGCAAGUCGAACGGUGAAGGAGGAGCUUGCUCCUUUGGAUCAGUGGCGAACGGGUGAGUAACACGUGAGUAACCUGCCCCAGACUCUGGGAUAAGCACUGGAAACGGUGUCUAAUACCGGAUACGAGCUUCAGCCGCAUGGCUAGGAGCUGGAAAGAAUUUCGGUCUGGGAUGGACUCGCGGCCGAUUAGCUAGUUGGUGAGGUAAUGGCUCACCAAGGCGACGAUGGGUAGCCGGCCUGAGAGGGUGACCAGCCACACUGGGACUGAGACACGGCCCAGACUCCUACGGGAGGCAGCAGUGGGGAAUAUUGCAUAAUGGGCGCAAGCCUGAUGCAGCAACGCCGCGUGAGGGACGAAGGCCUUCGGGUUGUAAACCUCUUUUAGUAGGGAAGAAGCGAAAGUGACGGUACCUGCAGAAAAAGCACCGGCUAACUACGUGCCAGCAGCCGGGAA